UUAGUCCUAAAAUUCGUAUAGAGUUGGAACAGCUUCCUUUCGUUUGCCGCUAGGGGCGCUGUUCCAACUCCAUACAAAUUUGAGUUA
rfam:Bombyx mori DNA, contig: Bm_scaf12_contig9930, strain: p50T/Dazao, build 2, whole genome shotgun sequence.